AGAGCGAACGCUGGCGGCAUGCUUAACACAUGCAAGUCGCACGGCUGGGGGUAACUCCAGCAGUGGCGGACGGGUGAGUAACGCGUAGGAAUGUAUCUAGAGGUGGGGGACAACCCUGGGAAACUGGGGCUAAUACCGCAUAUGGCCUGAGGGCCAAAGCCGUGAGGCGCCUUUGGAGCAGCCUGACGUCCGAUUAGCUUGUGGUGGGUAAUGGCCUACCAAGGCGUCGAUCGGUAGCUGGUCUGAGAGGACGACCAGCCACACUGGGACUGAGACACGGCCCAGACUCCGAGGGAGGCAGCCGUAGUAGGGGAAU
rnacentral:rRNA from 1 species